rnacentral:tRNA from 1 species
GCCUCCGUAGCUCAAAUGGCAGAGCAGCCGCCUUGUAAGCGGCAGGUUAUGGGUUCGAACCCCAUCGGCGGCUCCA